UCAGCAUCCUGGGGUCUCCCAUUACCAAGACAGAGGGACAACCAGGUGCAAAAUCAAGUAAGCAGCAUUCUUCAGUGUCAGAGUGAUAACUCCUAAAAAAUGGAUGAACUUGAUCUCACCUUAGGAGCAACCUGGAAACUACAUACACAAUGGCUACAGUUAUGUCACACAUGUCAAGUUCCCAUGCUACGAAAGUCUUGCCUAUCCUAAUGUCUCCCUAUGCUUCUUCUAAAGUUUAAAUGUUUAAUACU